rnacentral:rRNA from 1 species
GACGGAGGAUGCAAGUGUUGUCCGGAAUCACUGGGCGUAAAGCGUCUGUAGGUGGUCAACUAAGUCAACUGUUAAAUCUUGAGGCUCAACCUCAAAAUCGCAGUCGAAACUAUUAGACUAGAGUAUAGUAGGGGUAAAGGGAAUUUCCAGUGGAGCGGUGAAAUGCGUAGAGAUUGGAAAGAACACCGAUGGCGAAGGCACUUUACUGGGCUAUUACUAACACUCAGAGACGAAAGCGAGGGUAGCAAAUGGG